rnacentral:rRNA from 1 species
UCGAGAAUAAUUCACAAUGGGGGAAACCCUGAUGGUGCAACGCCGCGUGGAGGAUGAAGGUCUUCGGAUUGUAAACUCCUGUCAUCGGGGAGUAAGACCUGACGGUAAAUAGCCGGCAGGGUUGAUAGUACCCGAAGAGGAAGGGACGGCUAACUUCGUGCCAGCAGCCGCGGUAAUACGAAGGUCCCAAGCGUUGUUCGGAAUCACUGGGCGUAAAGGGAGCGUAGGCGGCGUGGUAAGUCAGAUGUGAAAUCCCGGGGCUCAACCCCGGAACUGCAUCCGAUACUGCCGUGCUUGAGGGUUGGAGAGGUAGCUGGAAUUAUCGGUGUAGCAGUGAAAUGCGUGGAUAUCGAUAGGAACACUCGUGGCGAAGGCGAGCUACUGGACAACAUCUGACGCUGAGGCUCGAAGGCUAGGGGAGCAAAAGG